AAAAAAAUGAAAUAGGUUAUUUAGAGCUGCUCAUCCGCCCCCAGCAGUGGGGUCUUGCACACAGCUUGCUCUGCACUGGACUUUGCCCACAGAGAGUUUUAGCCAGGGAACCUGUUAAUUUUAAACCAAAAGUGUGCACUUCUGCACAAGCAGAUCUGGACCUCUUUUUGGGCAGAAGCUUUUCUCCUGCUCUUGUCUUGCACAGCUCGGGAAAGAGGAAAGGUUCCCAUUGCUAAGCCAGGUCCAGGCCAGUUUUGACUCUUUAGAUACCAGCAUCAAAUUUUGCAAGGUCUCAUGGAUGAAUAAUAAACCACUGCAUCACUUCCACAUGCUGUGUUCUGUGGUCUUCAGGAGGAAAUGACCCUUAUCCUUUCCCAAACCAACAGUUAACACACCUUUGUUGAUACGUGUCAUACUUCUGAGGCUCAGAGCUCCUAACAGUCCCUGGGGACUGGCUUCUGCACCAGAGACAAAAAGCUGAGCAGAACGCGCAGAGGAAGCCGUACAAAAGUAACCUAUUGCCGUGCUGUUUGGCUGCUCUUGGCUGUCGAUGACAAGUGGACUGGUGGUGUUAGGCAGCUCCCAGGGAGAGGAUCAGAAGUACUCUAUCUAUGACACCUCGUUUAUGGAGCUGUCUGGAGGUCUCAGCUUGGUACCGAGAAGUAUGUGAAUUUAGCAGAACAGAAGCAAAGGAAGAAGAAACUGUCCAAGAGUUGGUGACCAUGUGUGCUGGGAAGGAUGAUGAAAUAACAAAGUAUUCCCAUCAUGAUUUAUGACUGAAGAGAAAUGCUGUCCAGGUGAUGAUCCAGUCCAUUAUCUCGACGGAGGUGCUGACCACUGUAGGGAAGCACAGAGAGCUGAUGUACAACAUGAUGGAGAACAAGCAGAAGAAAGGGGGCUUCCAGGUUACAACUGAAAAAAGCAUAAUUCAUAUGAUUUGCAAUAAUUGGAUGCAAAAGAAAAAAAAAAGAAAAACAGAAAACUUUAUCCUAUUGCUCCUCCCCCGAGCUGCCGGAGCUCAGGGAGCGUUGGGAUACCACUCUUAGAUGUAGGGUGUGGGUUUGGGUGUUCCUAUCUGGAGCUGAGUGUUGGGCUUGGUGAUCCUUGUGGGUCCCUUUCAACUCGGGAUAUUCUACAAUUCUGUAAAGAUUACCCAUGUUAAAUACAUGUUUCAGAGGGUAAAGCUCCCCUGUCUCAAUACCACCCUCGGUUGGUCUAGAAUGCUCUAUUUUUUCCUUCCAGUUUUGUGUUUUACUAUUCAUAAAUCAAGAUUUCUUUCCCCUGCUUGGCACCUUCCCAGUCCUUGCAGAUCAUUAAUACCAAAACAGGGCUGUUAAUCUCUCGGUCCCAAGGUGCAUUACCCCACUUGUAGAUGGAGGGACUGGGAUACAGAUGGGCCUGUGCCCAGAGCCACUGAGCAUGGGGAUGUACCCCAGGGCCACGUUCACUCCCAGAACAGUUCCCCAUGGGGUGCCUGGUGGUCCUGCACUGAUAGCAUCGUGUUUUGAAGUGGUUUGGGGAGUGGACCAUGGGAUAAAGCUGGGCACAGGGUUUUCUGUCUGCAGUGAGCUCUGUGCUCUACAGCAGUUUUGCUGCCUGUUCAGCAGUACGUUUGCAAUAGCAUAUGUCCUUCCCUGAUUGUACUGAACCCUCAUUCCCAUUGCUUGUACUUCUCAUCCUAUUCAACCCUUUCAACUCCAGCAGUAUGUAAAAGAGGCUAGCUUUAUUUUUCAGGUCUCUUCCUAUCAGAGAAGGUCAGGGACAAAGCUUGGCAAUGAAAGGCAAUUUCUCCAAACCAGUGGGCAAGCAGUGUGGUAAGAAUGCUUUUAAACAACAACAACAAAAAAUCCAAUAACUUCCCUAUAAAUUGUCCAAGAGAGAAAACUUUGUGUUUUUGGCAUUUGUAGCUGUUUCAGCAUUUUUCUGUGUAAGAUGAAAAACUUUUGCAUUGAGCAAAACACAGAUUUAUGAUCAAUAAAGUGAAGUUUUAACAGUUUAUAGGAGCCAUACAUUCUUUUUUUUUUUUUUUUUAAACUGAUAUUAAAAACUAUCUUUUCCUCUCAGCCAUGUUAGAAAUCCACCCCAGUGUCAGUCAGGGUUUCAGCACAGCAAACUUUGCAGAGAAAUUGCUGGCUGGGGUUUACUGCAGGACCAGUGGCCACACAAGCCACCCCUCCCUCCCCCUCAUGGGCUUGUGAAAUAAAGCUCCAGUAAGACCUGAGUAUGGAAUUUAGGGUGUGAGCUUGGACUUGCCCAGUGUUUAGAAGCUUUGGGAGCUGGAGGCUUCUGCAGGUCGUUCUCUGGACCAUACAGAUAAUAACUGUCCAACAAGGCUCUGCAGUUCUUACUGUAGCAGGAGCUACAGGCUGAGAGCAAGCAGCUGCCAGAAAAACCUCUGAUUUGCACAAGUGACUUUGGAAUGGCUGGUGGAUAUAUGAACCUUUAUUGGCACAACCUUGGUUGGGCUGUGAGCAGCCAGGGAGUCCCAGGGUAAUUUUAUCUCUCUCAAUUCUUAUGUGCAGGGGCACUGUGCGGUCAAAUCUUCUAGUUCUGGUGUUCCCCCCCUUACCUUUGCCUCACGCCUGGUAGUUGUCUCUGAAGACACUGAUUUCUACACCGACAAGUGUGCCAGUGAUACUAAACAUGCUCAAAACAGAAACAACUCUUUUGUUCCAAACAGGCCACUGCACUGAUUGUUUUAUAACUCCUAUAAGAAAAUCAUGUCAACAGAUCAUCUGAUAAAAGUUAUUUGGCCUUAGAUUUUCUACUAGCUUAGACCUAAGAUGUGAUUUGAGUAUGAAAUUACUGAGUAUAGGACUGUUUUCACUGCCAUUAAGACCAACAAGAAAUCUCCCUUGAUUAGAUUUAUUAUAAGCCAGGGAGCUGAGGAGAGCUUGUAACUCUUCUUUUGUAAUCCCACGGCCCUGGUUAUGCAGUCUCUGGGCUUUCUGCACAUUACAGCACAUGGAACUGCCUGAAUUGUUCUUAUCUCUUCAGCAUGUUCUUCUUUGUUAAGGCCUAUCUCAAUGCAAGAUCUACAGUAAAAAAUAGGAAAGUGUCCAUUACAAGGCAGGGAUUUGGCUUUUUCUCUCCAGAGCACGUGAUGAAGGCAAUAAAUUUGUCAAGGAGAUAAGCUGGACUCAACCCACCGAGAUCAGUGCCAGUCGGGUCCCCUUCAUCCCAUGAUGUGCCAGGAAAUUUAUUACCCGCUGUGAGAUUUAACUGCACAAAUCCCUGGUGAAUUGAUAGGAGAGGAGAACCUUGCUGAGGUUUAUAGGGGGGUCUUAAACCCUUAAAUGUUGGUGGCAGUGGCAUCCCCAUAAAGCCCUGCCAGCGGUAAUUUACAGACGAGGAGAUCGACUGUGUUUCCUCUGUGGAAAAAGGGGUUGAAAUAACUGGGGCUCUCCAAGCUGAGUCGCAGCGCUGGAGAAGGUCCACAGGGUGCCGCAGCUUCUGCAGAGCAUGCAGCUUCCACUUGAUUAAAUAAACCUGGGUCUCAGUAGAUCUGAAAAGUGGUUUUCAGAGAGUUCUGGCUAAGAGCUUGCAAGUUUUUCCAUUUCUUUUGAAGAGAAAUUUGCACUCAGAAAAUGAAAGAAUCUACAAAGUGAUAUUUUCUGAAGCAAACACUGACAUUAUGAGCAACUUAAGCACUUUCAUUGCAUCUCUGCACUAAACUGCGGCUCCCGACCGACAAAACCGUCUCUUGCUAAAAGCAACUGUUAUAAAAUUAUGACUAGCGCAUAUAUAACGUUUGUGUUUAACAAGAUGACAGAAAUGCCACCUUAGUAAAAACUGAUUAUGGUUACAGCUGAACAAUUCACAUCAUGCAAGAUUUAUAAUAUUAAGGUUAUGCAAUCAUCUAAUCGGAGAGACAAGCCUUGAGUAAUAAUAUGAAAUGCAUGUACUUCAAUCUGCAGCAGUAGAUUCAUUGCUGGUUUCUUAUUAGCUCAUGCUAGCAUUAGGGCUGCAUUAUCCAUUUUGCCAUAGUCUAAUUCAGCAUUUCCAUCUGAAAACAUAUGCACAAUAAGUGAUCUAUGCCAAACAAUGAAAUGGAAGCAAAGUCAUUUGAGUGACUUUGUGGCUAUAAAAAUAUACAUAAUCUGUAUGUCUUUUGGCAGUUCUCAAUACUUUGUGCUACAUUUAUUUGCAUGGAAAGUUUUCCCAAAAUAAAUAAAAACAGAUAGAAAUUGCCCUCUUUUCUCUUGAGCAUAAUGUUUUGGGGCUGGAGCAGUGCAAGAAUGCAUCUCACCCGCUUCUCAUCCGGCAGGUAUGAGUCAGGUGUUCUUAUUAGAUGAUGAUUAGUGUUAUACAAGCUAUCUAGAAGUCACAGUAACUUAAGAUGGCAUAGAGUGACUUAAAGUGUGCAUCUUUCAAUAUUGCUGAUUUUUAAAAUCAAAGAGAAUUUCAGUAUAUGUAUGUCAAGAAACAUAUCGGUUAAUUAUUGUACAGAGAAGUCAUAGUGUAACUUCUGGUUAAAAAUAUGCGAUUUCAGGGGCUGAGAAGUUCAAGCAUUGCUUUUCAAAGGCACAUGUUACAAAAGAUGACAAGUGUUUAUAAUGUAAUGAUCAAACUAAUUGACCGAGAGUCAGAUUAAAACAAGACUUUUCAUGCAAAGUGCAGACUGAACUUUCCCCUUAACUGCUCACAGUGGGCUGAGUCCAUUUUCUGCAGCCUGUGCAGGCUUAGGUCCUGCAAGACACGGGUGCCUUGGGGCAUCAUGCGGCACUGGGAGGACUAAGGACCUUGCAGGACUGAAACCUGCAAGUUGCUGAGGCUUCUUUACAAUGUCUUUUGCUCCCAGAUUCAGACAAGGUCCAAACAGGAUGGACUUCCUCUAAGCCCUUCCCACUGCAGGGAAGCACGUAUGCUGCAGGCUUGGAAAUGAGAGCAAGCAAUAAAACAAACAAAGCCCAGGAAUUAAAUUCCAAAUCAAAUCAGCACAUGGAAGGACCACUCUUAUUUCACUGAGCUCAUUCCAGCAGAAGGGGGAUGAGGAGGCUCUAACGCUUGCAAUAUCGUCCAUAUGACCUUUUUUAUCCCGUUCCCUUCUGAUCAAGCACUGAGGGCUAUGUGAUGUUUCCCAUUUUGGAGGCUGGAGGGAAAGCAAAAGGAGCCCUUGAACACCGACUGUGUUAAGGUUCUGUUGAAAUAACAUCAGAUUUACUCUGACAUGUUCCAUGGGACUUAAUAUUGAUUUUCAAAUAAUCUGGAACGCUGUUUUUAUAAACAAUUAUUGGCAAGGGGAGGCGUUGUUUUUGGAAGCUCUUGUAUGUACAGUAAGGCUUUAUUUCUUCUUGUUUUGAAGUGCGGCACGUCUUUUAAAAACGCUGUUCAGGAAACAUCUGCUGUCAAUUAAGGAGUAACACAUUAAGGCAUAUUAAAGUGCACUCUUAUUAGUGUUUCGGCAAUAAAAAGAAAGGUUUUCUAUUUGAAUCAUAUGUUCUUUAACACAUCUGCCAGCCAUCUGAAACUUGCAAACGUUUCUCAAUAAAAACAUCUUCAUAACCUUGUAAAAACUUAGUAAUGCAUGGCACUCUGUUUUCUGUAUAUAUAUAUGCCUGUAUAUCCCUUUAUACACUGAGUUCAGGUAAUUCUCAAACAGGUUAUUGGGCUGAUGCUGAUAGUUUUUGAUAAGGACAGUGACUGCGGGCACUCUGCUCAGUCAGUCCCAUUGAACCCUUAAAGGAGAGCUGAUUAGAAAAGCAAAGCUUUGCCUUUUAGUUUUUAUGAGAACAGAAGAAUCAGUCUUUUCAGCAAAAAAAAUAAUAUUACAAAGCAUUUGAGUUGGAAAAAAAAAAAAGUAUUUGAUUUGAAAAGGGUCUGUUGUGUGUUAGAAAACUGUAGUUUUCUACGGCUUAAACUCUCCACUCUGUUGAGAGCACCUUUCCCAAGGCACACUGUGGUGUCUUGUUGUUUAGCCAAGCUGGUGCAUCCUGCAAAACCCUGAUCAGAUUAAUAACAAAUAGAUAGCUCACAGGGGAUCAUCCUUACUUUAACUGCAUGGAUUUCUGAGUAUAAAAUAUCCAAGCUUCAGAAAGACUCAUGAGACUUGGAAACUGAAGCCAAUCAUUCAAAAUGAUGGGAAAUCAUAACAGAUUGAAAUAGAAACUGUUAUUUUUACCAUUGGGACCAUAGAAAUGACUUGUUUAUCCAUGAACUCAGGUAGACGUGCUACUAGAUGUUGGUGUUUGCAGUGAGUUGAUGUGCUCUUGUCUGUUUCCCAGCAAAAGAAGGGCACUAGACAGAUUUGGCUGCAGCACAGCCUGAGGAAAAGUCUGUGUAGAGGCAGAUAACUGCCUUCCUUUGCUGCUGGAGUUACUGUGGCUGACACCUUCAGCCACAGGGUGUACAGGGUCUGACAAAUCAGGCGCUCAAAGAGCACCAUUGGAAGAGACCCCCCUGUUCCAUCAAAUGUACUUUAUGCCUGAUUAUUUUUAAAAAUUCCUUGAGAAAAAGUCAAGCUGACCUUAAAGUGGGUGAGAGAGAAUGAAAACCUGCCUGGGAAAAGAAUCAAACAUUUUGAUUUCUUUCCUUCCAUUGCUGAGUGUUGUGAUCUCGAAGGUGGGGAACCACUGACGUAACACAAGCACAGCUACUUGGUUCAUUUUCUUACUGAUACCUUGGAAGGAUUGUUACUGCAUGGGUCAAAGCCCCAGCCAGUAAGCAAAGGAGGUUUCUUAUGUCUGCAUCUUAAGGAGUUGGUAGCUGUUGUUACUGGCUGGUGCACCAUCUAAUGUUCGGUGAUGGAUGCAUCUGCUUGGCUAAACAAUAGAAAUCUGCCUAAUUAGAUGCUGUUUGAGACUGACCUACUUCUGUGACUCCGGCAUGCAGAUCUUCUCACUGAAGGAUGAUACUUUUCUUCCCUAGAAAAUCACAAAUCAAAGCUUGAACAUGCUGGUUUCUAACAGCAAAGGGAUUGUUUAUAUUUUCCAGAGCUGCAGGGGGAAGUUUGCCGGAGGUUUGAACUACAGAGGGGAAAAAGGAAAUGUAACUUUCAUGCAAAGCUCACAAACUAAAUGCCAUUUGCCCACUGGGCUUGCUCUUCAUGGGGAGCUGCAAAUUGCCCAUUCAGCUGCCAAGCAGAAAAAAAAAUGUAAAGACAAAUGCAUAAAACUACUGUGCUUCUGAGAGGCUGGGAACUAUGUGCUUGUUCAAGCAUGGAAAGAGCGUGCAGCUGCCUUAUGGCGGGGGACUCAGAGGUGGAACGUCUUCAAAGCCCCCUGGUUCUUCUUCUGGUCCCAGUGAACUUUGGAUUCCUCAUCCUGUCCCUUGCUAGAUUUCUUUCAGAAGUGAAAGGGAAGAGCAGUCAGACCUGAAACCAGAGAUGAUGGAUUCAGUGGGGUUGGCGAGGGAUCAGACUGGGAAUGGAUAUCGCUCUGUCUUGAUGCAAUUACUACCAGUGUGAUUCUGACAAGACUUUCUCACUCAAAAGUAGAUAAGCUGGUUUCCCAAGGACCAUUCCCCUCAGCUGACCUACACUUUCCCCAGGUGCUGUUUGAAAGCUAUUUUUCUUAAAAGUUUCUAUAUUAUCAGUUAAGCUAUAACAGCAAUAAUUACCUAUAUUACCAAGUUCAAAACACGCCAUAUUCAAAACAGUCUGGUAAAAACUAGCAUAAAUAAAUGCAGGGUGCUUCUCCCCUUAGGACCGCAGGGUCAAGCUCAAAUAAACUUCCAGUGAGAGGAAUUUAAGGUAGGAGCCCACUUUGAAAAAAUCAUUAAGUGGAUCAGGAAAUGUGAAGUGUAGAUAAUGGACAACCUAACAAGGGAUAUACUCCAGCACUGCAAGAUGUGCUUGAAUAUGGCCUUAUAACCAGAGCUGCUGUUGUACCUCAGGAGGUGCCUAAGGACGUGUAGAAUCCGCAGGUACUGCAGGCCAAAAAGGAAAGUCUGGAGUCCUUUGAGAGGUGGGUAUUGUUCUUAGGAAGGUCUGAUGGUGCCCAUCCUUCCUAAUAGGAUCAAAGUGAACUUCAUUCCCUUGUGGAAGUGUAGAGAAGAACCUCUCAAUAUCAAGCUCUCACUCUGAAAGCCAGUACUUCAACCCUUGAAAUCCCUACCUGUAAAGGUUUGCCAGGAGUGGGCACUCACUGCUGCUUUUCAGCUCUCCUUCAGCUGCCCUGCUGAAGUGAUGAAUACUGCUUAAUUACAAAAACAGAAUUUCUGUCAUUUCUCCCAGCAUGGCUUGUAUUGGGGAAGAUUAAACAUCAGCCAAACAUUACGGAAUUACCUUUUUAAACCUAUUAUUUCAACGUGAUUAACUUCGCUUCUUUUCAUUUAGCUGUAAGCAAAAUCUUGUUUACAAGGCAAAAAAAAAAAAAAAAAAAAAAAGCACUUGCUAUAAUAUCGGCAAUAAUAAUAAAAAUGAACAUCACAGGGAAAUAAUUUAUGUGUAAACCAGCAUAAAAAUGUCAUUGAUGCAUGGGUUUCCUCUUCAAUUAAUAAAAAGGAGGAAAUAUUUAAAAACAAUUUAUCAAGGAAAUACAUACAGUUCAUAUAUCAUGCACUUACAAAGACUGUACUAAUAUCUAUUCCACAAAUAGCAGUGUGACCUGGACUAUCACACAGAUGCUGGAUUCCUUUGUGUGACCUAAUUUGGGGCAGGUGUCCAGGACAAGACUUUGACCUUGUACAGGAUGAAGAUCCUGGGUCAAAAUACUGAUAAAAGCAUGUUCUGUUGGAGAAGUAACAAUUGGUGCUGGUGAGGUAGCCCAAAAUAAAUAAAAUGCAGCAUCAGUGGUUCUGGAUUCAUUCUCUACUUUUGACUGAGAUUGUUGUCAUCACCAUAAAGCCUGAUAAUUUAUUUGCAAAGAAUAAAGCAUUGUCUAUUAUGUGUAUGCUUGUGCUAAGCUGAGAAGUGAUCACACUUCCAACAUAAAUAGAAUCUUGUAAUUAUCACUGUAAAACUGUGUUACUCAAAAAUUCAAGAGUUUAAAAACAUCCAAAAUAGUAAAUUGAGGUGUGAGUCCUCUGCUAACCUUGGAUCUGAGCAGUCAGUUAAGACUGAGGAGGCUUCUGAAGGUCAUUAUCUUCCCUUAAUGGUAUCAGAACAUCUUUUGGGGUAUAAAAUUUUGCAGCAUAAAUUUUAGAUAACAGAUGUACAUUUAUCUAACCCAAAUCAAUGGGAACACAAACCAUCCAAAGUGUUUCUGUGCAGUGUUUGGAAAUAAGAUGAGUGAAGAGAAACCUGUUUUAUCCUAAUCUUUUGCCUAGUCUACUUACAGUGAGAUGCUUUGGGACAAGUUACCUGGCCUAGAGGGAGGUGUCCCUGCCUAUAGCGUGGGGCUGGAACUGGAUGAUCUCAAAGGUCCCUUCCAACCCAAACCAUUCUAUGAUUCUGUGAUUCUGUAAGUAGUGUUAAUUCCCAGAAACCUGUACAAGGUCUCACACACUGGGCACUGGGGGUGCUGAGCUCCAUAGGAUGGAUCAUGUGCUCAAAAUGAAACUUGAAUGUGAAGCUUUGUAGGUUUGGGUAUUUAAGACACAUUUUUCCAAGUGUUUUUCACGACUUCUUUUUCUGUAGUUCUCAACCCCUCUGUAGGCAAUUGGAGAAGGAUGAAACUAUUAAAAAGACGCUGGUCCCAUUUUCAGUGUCUUGAUAUCCAUUUCCUAAACAAAUGGAACUGAUUGAUACAAAUUGGUAAUUCCUAAGUCUCAGUUUCUCUCCAAAGUACCCAAGGAGUGGGAGAAGAAAGCAUGGGCAUGUUCUCCAAAUGUCUCUAUACCUAACAGUACCACACAUUGAUAUUUCUGUUUCUUACAGGAUAUCUGAAGGGUGGGUCUUACCAUAACACUGGAAAACAUAUACAGCUGUGCUUGCAACUCCUAAUCAGCAAUUAAAUGAAUGGGACAAGCUAUAAACAAUGAUAGUAUCCAUUUUUUGUUUCAGAAAACAGUUUGUUUCCAACUCUUUGUCUUUGUGAGGACGCAUCUCAAUCAUAUGCCAUGUAGACUAAAAGGUCCUUUGGGCAGAUCACUUAGUUUAAAGUUGAUGGAACUUUACUGGUGUACAUAAAUUUACACAGAUUGACAAAGUGGGAAUUCUGGUCCUUUGUGUUGACCUCGAGCUGGAAAACCAGAUGUCUUCCUAUACAUAUGUGGAAUCAAACUUAGAAAUUUCAGUAUUGAAGAAAAUUGAUUAUAUAUACUGAACAGAGAUAUUGGCAUAGUCUAUUACGUGUUGUACCCUGUCCAUCAGUUUGUGGCAGUAUGAGUAAAGAUUUGCCCUUGGUUUUAUCCAUACUAAGAAGGCAGUGCGUUUCCUGCACUUGGCAGCCUAUAAUUCACCUCUUACAUCAGUUGCUGAAAUUGAUUCUGUUUUUAAUGUGACCUGUUCUGAUUAUAAAGUUAUUUUUCUAGAUUUUAUUGCAUUUGCUACCUGAAGUGCAUCUACAAUGAUUUUCAAGGGAAGGCAAAUAACAAAACAAGGUUGGACUUAAUCUUAUUCUGUGCAGGAAGCUGGUUCUAACGAAAGGUGUCAUUGUCAGCAAGCUCUACAGCUAAUGGAUUAGCAGUCAACCUUUUUCUUCUGUUUUGUCUUCCAGAUAUUGAACUUCAAGGGUGGGGAAGUAAAACAAAACUAGCCAGAGAAGAUUAAGUGUACCAGUUAAAGUUACCCCACCAACAUGUUUCUAUAGAAACUCAAGAUAUCCAACUUCCAGAUGUAAAGCCUGAAAAGGAAGCACAUUCAGAUGUUAGAGUUUGCAGAGCACAUGCUGCUGCCCCCAGAACAGAGGCUACGCUGCUCUGUAGGCCUUUGCCACGCAAAAUAAAUAAGCAAUGCUACAGUCCUUCUGGCAACUGGUUGCAAUACGACUCCUGAUCUGUGUGUCCUUCUGAAAGGCAGCAGUAUCAUUUGCUUCCUUGCCACUUUUCAUGUUUUUCAAAAUUGUCUGUGGAUAAAUGUGUGUGAAAUUAUAACUGCUAGAAAAUGAUGGUGCUUAAAAGCUUUUGUAUCCUUCCAGGUGUUCUAUUUGGUCCUAGCGUUCAACUGCAGGAAAAGCUGUUGUCUGUGGGCUGUCAGGAGCUGUACCGAGGUGUCCCCAGACUUCUGGAGAUAAAGGAGGACUUGGAAAUACCUGGCUUUUUUUCAUGGUAUUGCAACAGGGAGGAACAAAGUGCAAAUAAUUUGGCGUAAGGCCCAUGGAAGUCAUGCAAGAUGCGCCAUGGAGGAGGAUUCCCCUGUUCAGCUGCCUCGCUAGGACCCAACCUGCAGGUGUGGGCACAGAAGAGCAGAGCAGCGAUGGAAGGAGCAGGAAGACCUUGGGCCAUUAAUAACCAGACCGUGAGGGUUCUUGAAGGGUGUGCAAUGAAUUCAGAACUGGCAUUUCCCAAGCCUGUCUCUGCCCUGUGGGUGAUCCUGGAACAAACAUACACCUACACCUAUAACUGUGCCUGCAUCUACACCUAUACCUACACUUAUACCUACACCUGUACCUACACCUAUAGCAAUACCUCCACCAACAUCUGCAUGCCUCAUUUUUUUUCCCAUUCCCUCCAGGGCUGUCCAUUUGAUCGCAUUGCUAACUCACAUGCUCUGCCUGCAGGGUGAAUCUCUGCAGUCUGAAAAACAAGAUGAGGCCAGAGGCCAAGCUGCAGGGUGAUAUUUUGGGAUGGCUGUGGUGAAGCCCCGCAGGCACAGUGCCCAUCUGUAAGCAAAUACUUUCAGGCUAGAUUCCGGGGGAGCCCAUGUGAUGUCUGCAGGCAGCUCAAUACCCCACAUCCACCCCGCUGAGCUCUGUUGGCAGAGGCUGGACACUUGCAAAGAUGUGUUUUUGCCAGUGUAACUUAUGAUGCCUUCCUUGCUGGAGGUCAGCAUUUGUAAGGAGAUGAUUCAGAAGUAAGUCCCAAAGCAACUACUAAAGAUCUGUUAAUGACAAUGGAAAAACUGGGAGAUAAAGAGAUGUGUAUGAGCUGGUUUUUUGUUUUUUUUUUUUUUUCCCUGCAGUGGUACUAUCCAGAGAGAACUUUCUCCCUCCAUAAACAUUUAUCUUGCACUCAAGGCCCACUGGCCUUCAGCAGAGCUGCACUGACCGCCGCCAGCUCCAGACUUGGAGCACACUCAGCAGCUUCGCGCUGCUUGGGUAUUCACAUGCACCAAGCAACUAUCAAACUUCCAGUUUACAGCUGCCUUGUGACUGAAUAUCAGCCUUUCUUUUUUUUUUUUAUCCUGCAUGAAGUCACGUUUCUGCCUUUUAAAUGGGAAGUCACUUCUGCAAACUCUGUUCUUGCUCCAUUCAUGCAAAGGAACCAAGAGGGAAGGAAAAGAAGAUGCGGCCGCUUCGAAACAAAGCAGAACAAAUUAAAGCUCCCAUGUGGCUGUGGUGCAGAUUCCUGCUGUCCUCCUACACAGGCUGCCUGCCCUUGACGGAUGGAUUUUAUUUGUCUGUCUAUAUUGUGGGUGCUUUUUCAGAAGGGCGAAGGGAAGCAAGCUACAAAAAGAAGUGCUGUCGCUGGGAAGUUAGUUAUUAACCGCCGGGCGCCUCCCUGACAUGACGGAGGUGCUGCAGCCUCUCUGAAGUUUGCAUGUCUUUACGGAAGGAUGUCAUGAUGUGACAGACACAGGGAUUUAAGACAGAUCUUUUCCUGCCUAGGGUCCCCUCUGCUUCUGCAGUGUUUACAUGGGAUCGCUGAGCUAUAUUGAGCUUUCAGUACCAAAUGCAUCAGUACUGUCCACGUGCAUCGCCCGUCAAGGAAGAUUAAGUUUGCUCUGCACAGCAGCACAGAAAUACUCCCAGGGCAAAGCAGGACGGCCCCAGCAAAGAUCUUUCUUUUACUUUCCCCACUCUUCUCAUUAAAGCUGUAGGUGGCUGAUGGAAAUAGCUUACCUAGCAAGGAGACAAAUGGCCAAGAGCUGAUGCGCUGCAGGAAUUCACCCCGUUGUGGUUCUGGAUAGAGCAGAGAUGUGGCAGCACUUUGCAAGUGCUUAAUCCACUUUGUUGAAUCAGAAUUAGAUUUAACACAUAGUCAAUCAGGAAUAUAAUUCCCAUUAUUUUGUACUGCAUCUGACCCUGAAGGCAUAAGCAAAACAUCCCAUCUGAGCCCAGAUCCACAGAAGGGUUUUGCGUCACUGGGGGGAAAGCUGGGAUCCCCAUCUCGUGUAGGAGUUGGACUUGGUGGUCCUUCUGGGUCCCUCCCAACCCGGGAUAUGCUCUGACUCUAUCAUCUUGCUGUGGACCCGUCCCACAGUGUCACUGCUGCCCUGCCCACGCUGGGGCACGCAGCCCUCAGGAGCAUCAGGUUCAGGGUGCUGGAAUGCAGAGACACUGCUACUGACAUCCACGUGUCCUCGGUGGGCUCAGGUGAGGAGAAGGCCCUCAGUGUAAAGCUGUGUUACUGCACACCGCUCUGAGGAGCUGAAGAACAGUGAUGUUUUUCUCAGGGCGAGCUCCAUUAUCUGAAGUAAUCUAAUCAGAGCACGUUAAUGAAACUAGGCCUAAAAGACUAACCAAUAAUCAAUACCACAGUGUGUUAAUAUUGUGUACCACAGACCUAACACACCUAUUUUCCAUGCUUUAUUUCAUUUUUCUGUGCUGUUUUCUCUCCUUAUGCAGAACAGCCAGGAAGGAACUAGCAUCUCCUCCAAACUCCAGCAACAUUGGAAAGGUCCCUUUUUGGUAAUAUUUCAGUGAUGAUUCACUAUGAGUAGCCAUAUAAAAAAUUAACACAUGGCAUUUCAGAACAGAGCUAAAAAAAAUAAGGAGACCUGAGUUCAGGGACUGAGCUGUGCUGAGCUGCUGCUCCCACCAUCAGUGCAUUUCCUUCUGUGAGCAGCCCACGAGAGAAGCAGUGUUUUGAAGGGAAGGACGAGCACUUUGCACCAGCAGGAUGUGCAGAGGGAGUGGAGGAGGCAGGGAGACUUUGCUGUUUGAUGCCCGUAAUCCCGUUAUCUGUAGAGGCAUCACAAGAUGGGAGUGGAAGAGAAUGGGAGCAGAUGAAAAGACUUUAUUUUCUUUAUGCCCUUCCUGGAAGGCUAAACCCAUCUUUUUUUUUUCUAUGUCAUUGUGCUUACACAGAGAGCAUGGAUUCCAUGACAGCGAUGACAAGCUCAGAUACAUCAAUCAUGCAGCAGAGAUGGGCACACAAAACUUUGCUCCUCAUCUGAUGACCCGCAGGCACCAGGACCACUAAUCAAAGAAUCCAAAUCAUGCUUUGCCUGUAGUCUGCAUCUGAAAUUCAUUCUUCUAGAGUAAUUUCAUACUUCAGAAGAGUUCCAGUGUUCAAUGUGGGAAGCGUGGGGCAUCUUGGUCCUCAUAGCUGUCUUUGUACUUAAUCAGAGGGAAGAGCUUUUCCUCUACUCCACAUUUACUCUUCACCUCAAGCAGAAGUUCCUCAGCCACAAUUGCAAGCUGGUGAAUUGCACUUGAAAAGGCAAAGAAAACCUAUAUUGCUACAUAUAUAUCUUCAACCCACCACUCCUGGUGCACCUAAAGCUAUAACAGAAAGCUCCCUGUAGGAUGAUGCCAACCAAUAUCAGUGCACUCAGCUCAGUGUGUUGAGUUCUGGAUAAAAACAGAAAUAAUGGAACAAGCCUCCUUGCUUCAGUCACAUAGAAUCAACCCCCCCAAAAAAGCUACCACCAAACUUGACUCAUUUUUUUAAAGAAAAAGGCAAUUUUUCACAUUUUAAUAGCUUUCAUUCCAUGUCUUAAUAAAUGCAUGUUUGUUGAUUUGUGUAAGCAUGAUGUAGGAUUCUGCAAAUGAAUGUAAUCUGCAACAAGGGGAUAGCUAACCACUAGCUAACACUUUUGAAUAAUGAAUCCCUACUGUAUCAGAUGGACGCUAUUCAUAAUAAUUCCUUGCUUUUCUCAUUUUGUCGUGUACAGUAGCGAUUAAUCAAUUUGCAGUGUUAUGUCACCCGCAACAAAUUGCUAGCACCAAGACAAAUUUAUUGCUUUAUGAUAAAAGAACUUGUUUAGGUAGAAAUAAAUUAAAUUUGGGGGUUGUUAUUUGAGUUUGAUGUUUACAUAUAUGACCCAUGCCACACGGGCUGGCGGAGCUAAGGGUAUGCAAUUAUUACUCCAGUGUUCUGAGGAUAGUUCAAAGAGAUGCAGAAGCUAAUGGCAUGUUUGUACAGCUAACUAGUCCUUGAGGACACCAAGUCCCCCUGGGAGCUUUCUGUAACCUGGAUGAGGCUCUUCACAAGAAUUUGGAAUGGUUGUCAGUCCGGAGUUGUGUGUUGGAGGUUUAGUCCAUUGAAGAUGGCUGGGUGCUCUUCAUUCUGGGGGUCUAGAAGACAGGCAGGUCCCAGCACCCCAACAAAUACUGCAUCUAUGGAUCUUCUUGUGAGAGUGGUGCUGCUUUAUGGGAAUGGACUGAGCAGAAAUAGCUUUGCAGGAGCAGCUCUGCUCUCCUAUAACAGGACACAGACUCAGGGAUGCUCCUAGGAUGCUUGGUGGAGAUGCCCAGCCCUGAGGGUGAAAAACCUGCUUAGCUUCCAGCAAUAAGAAUGCCCAGAUCAUUGCCUUUAUUUUAUUUUAUUUUACCGUUAUUUUUUAUUUCCUUCAACCUUUGACAGACUCUGGUCUCCUGCUCCCCCAUCAAUCAGCUUACUCUUCCUCACACUUUCUCCUUCCCACUGCCUCAGAAAUCACUUUGACUCUUUCUCCCUGGGUUAAGUACUGUUACUUCCCUUUCUUUGCCCAUUUCUUCCACUCUUCACUUUUUCUCAUUUCUUGUACUCCUGACCACGCACUUUCUGUAGCACUGGAUAAUGCCUCUCCCCUCCCUGCUGCUCCCCACUAAUGUCCUUGUCAGCCUUCCCCUGAAUCAUCACUGUACCGUCCCAGAAGAUGUUUAACUGAGAUUAUCCCUCAUUGGAAUCACAGAGCUGAGAAAAACCAAAUGUAUCCAAUGCUCCAGUUCAUCAAGGUGACCCCAAAGCCCUGAGAAAAUAGCCCAAAGGGAGAGGAGAGGAGGGGAGAGGAGGGGAGAG
ensembl:lncRNA